AGGAGCCUCAGUAGCGUCUAAACGUUGUAGUUUCAUGUAAAAGGAGCCUCAGUGUGACCAAUGAAAUAAUUGAGUUUGAUCUACGUCCUGGAGCUGGAGUGGUUGGAUCUCUGACAACCCGGACAGACUCUAUUUUUUCAGACUGUGAUUUUGCCGGACGUCUGCUUGCCUCUCACAGACCAUGUGUGACAAAUUUAAAUGGAGCCUCAUUGUGAACUGACAACCCAGACAGACUGUAUUCAGGAUUUUGAAGAGGGCACCACGCACUCUACCCGGGCAUCCCAGGACAGUGUCUCCUUCCAUCGUCGGCUCCUCAGAGCUCCUUGAGGGAUGCUGAGAACGAGCCGGAACCUCAGAACAAUUUCCAUAAAGUUACGCAUCUCUUUAACCAUUCAUUCACUUAUUGCUCACCUUUUAUACUACUGCUGAAUCAGAUCAAAUGCAUUAAUAUUAUGAACAUCAGCUAUGCUAAUUAUUUCCCAUCUGCCUUUCUGCUGUUAUCUCGGGACAAGCGGGGUUCGUCAGGUCCAGCUUGUAUCCAGCGUGUCACGGAGACUUCAGAUGCCCCAACGCCUGUGAUUUGAUGACCAAACGCCCGUGAAGAGACGACUCGACCCCUGUGAAGAGGCGACUCAACAUCGUGGGAGCCUUACGGGAGUGUUCACGGGGCCUGCAUCUUCUUCCACACAUUCUCAGAUGCCCAGGAAGGGAUUUCUAAAAAUUAGAAUACAGUGAUCUCUAUUCAAAACAACUGAAUAAGCUCUAAUCCCUAACUGUAAAACUGUGUGACGUGUUUUUGAGCAUGUGAUGAGGCUGUGCAUUUAUAUAUAAUGGUGUCAAGUUUAUAAAAUGUGUGAACAACAUGCAGUGUACAUAUUCUUUUGGAGUGCUCUUUUAUAUUGUUAAUAAAAAAUAAUUUUCACAAACCUAUUGUUGCAUUAUGAUUGUUUGUUGAUUAUGCUGUAGCUUAUGGUUUUCGAUUUAAAUAAUCUCCUGUUAAAAAUCUUUUAUUAGUAUAAGUAUUGUCUGUGACCCU